rnacentral:rRNA from 1 species
CCUCGAGACCCCCGAGCGAAGGCCUCGGCUCAAUCUUGUGAGCAGCAAGAACGCUCCUGUAAGGGGGGGCGGGCUAGCUGCUCUGACGGAGAGCCGCGUAUAUCUGGUCAGCAGCCGCGUGAUACGUCGUAGGUGGACAGUGUCUGCGAGUAUAGUGGGUCAUAAGCGCGCAGCAGCUGCCUCAUACUGAUGAUGAGAACGCACGCUCUCAGCGUGGGUCAUCUGUAGAAUGGGGGAGUCGUGUGGCAGGAGAGAGGUGAGGAGUAUCACGUCGUAGUCGCUGAGAUACUGUAGUAGAUGAUGUAGGAGCACCACCAGUGGAGGAGGCGGCUCUGUCGUGCAUAAGUGACUGUGACGCGAGAGAGUGUGGAGCGAGCACAAGUUGAUAUCCCGGUGUAGUACACGCUAUACGAGAAGAGUUAUAUGUGUGAGAGGUCAUCCCCCUUAUAGUGGCGCAGAUAACGCUAUACACUCUCCGCGGGGAGAGUGCGGCCACGGGUGAAAAUCUAAAGAGAAUUGGGGGGGCCCCGCACAAGCGGGGGCACAUGUGUUAAUUUUAGAAACAACGAGAAGCCCUUUCACGUGUUGACACCUCCUUCCAACCCUAGAGAUAUGGAGUUUUCCCUUUGGGGGGACAGAGUGACAGGUGGUGCAUGGUUGUCGUCAGCUCGUGUCGUGAGAUGUUGGGUUAAGUCCCGCAACGAGCGCAACCCUUGCCUUUAGUUGCCAGCAUUCAGUUGGGCACUCUAGAGGGACUGCCGGUGACAAAUCGGAGGAAGGUGGGGAUGACGUCAAAUCAUCAUGCCCCUUAUGACCUGGGCUACACACGUGCUACAAUGGACGGUACAAAGGGUUGCGAACCCGCGAGGGGGAGCGAAUCCCAAAAAGCCAUUCUCAGUUCGGAUUGCAGGCUGCAACUCGCCUGCAUGAAGCCGGAAUCGCUAGUAAUCGCGGAUCAGCAUGCCGCGGUGAAUACGUUCCCGGGCCUUGUACACACCGCCCGUCACACCACGAGAGCUUGCAACACCCGAAGUCGGUGACCUAACCCACACG